rnacentral:rRNA from 1 species
GAUGAACGCUAGCGGGAGGCCUAACACAUGCCAGCCGAGCGGUAGAGUUUCUUCGGAAACUUGAGAGCGGCGCACGGGUGCGUAACACGUGUGCAACCUACCUUUAUCUGGGGGAUAGCCUUUCGAAAGGAAGAUUAAUACCCCAUAAUAUAAUGAUUGGCAUCAAUUAUUAUUGAAAACUCCGGUGGAUAGAGAUGGGCACGCGCAAGAUUAGAUAGUUGGUGAGGUAACGGCUCACCAAGUCAAUGAUCUUUAGGGGUCCUGAGAGGGAGAUCCCCCACACUGGUACUGAGACACGGACCAGACUCCUACGGGAGGCAGCAGUGAGGAAUAUUGGACAAUGGGUGAGAGCCUGAUCCAGCCAUCCCGCGUGAAGGAUGACGGCCCUAUGGAUUGUAAACUUCUUUUGUACAGGGAUAAACCUACCCUCGUGAGGGUAGCUGAAGGUACUGUACGAAUAAGCACCGGCUAACUCCGUG